AUUGAACGCUGGCGGCAUGCCUUACACAUGCAAGUCGAACGGUAACGCGGGGCAACCUGGCGACGAGUGGCGAACGGGUGAGUAAAGUAUCGGAACGUGCCCAAUAGUGGGGGAUAGCCCGGCGAAAGCCGGAUUAAUACCGCAUGAGACCUGAGGGUGAAAGCGGGGGACUCGCAAGAGCCUCGCGCUGUUGGAGCGGCCGAUAUCAGAUUAGGUAGUUGGUGGGGUAAAGGCCUACCAAGCCGACGAUCUGUAGCUGGUCUGAGAGGACGACCAGCCACACUGGGACUGAGACACGGCCCAGACUCCUACGGGAGGCAGCAGUGGGGAAUUUUGGACAAUGGGCGCAAGCCUGAUCCAGCCAUGCCGCGUGACGGGAAGAAGGCCUCGG
rnacentral:rRNA from 1 species